rnacentral:lncRNA from 1 species
UUGAUCUCAUUUGAGAUUUUUUUUCAGAAACAGAAAAGCUCCCACUCUUUUCUCACUUUGUCGACAGCGACGAACAAACAACCUAUCUCACACGUUGACUCCUCUAUUUCUCCACGGCAGGUCUUCCUCCCAUACAUAGACUGAUAAGCUCUCCUCUCUCUCGACAGUAACAAAGGCUUGAUGCAAACGGCGUGCGGCAUCUUCAAUCUCAACCCAUGUAUAAUGUCUUACUGUUGUAUGUUCGAAUCUUGAACCCCAUCUCAUCACAGAUUUAAGAUUCACUGAAAACCCCACUCCUCAGCAACAAUUAUUUUCCUUGGUUUUGUUUCAUAUUUCUUUUUUAUUAUCUUCCAUUUCUUGUUUAGCCUAAUAUUUUCUGGGUUUUAUGUUGUUCAGGUUUUUUGUUGAAUUUUUUUGGCAUUCCAAGUUUACUUUAUUAUUAGUUGGAUUUGCUCUCAAGAUCCGCUUGGUAUGCAAUUUAUAUUAAAAUUCCAUUUUUUGGCUGGCCAGUUUGAAGUUUUAGAACUUGUUUCUUAUUUAUCAUUCAUAUUAUACGAUUUAUGCCUGGUAAUAAAUAUUUUUCAUAAAUUUUGAAAUUUCCAUUGAUAUAUAUAUUUUUUUGUGUUGAAUAUGGAUGGCGCUCCUUACGUUCAUAUUAAAUGUUGAAAUUUCCAUUCAUAUUUUUCAUAUCGUUAAUAAUAAAUUGGGUGGUGAUUUUGGCGGCUUUUUUAUUUUAAUAAAGUACUUGUGUAUGAUAUGGAUAAUGAGUGAAUUUAUUUGGGGCUGCUGCUUUUACUAUGACAUGCACAAAACAAAUGCUUGCGUGUAGGAUUUUGUUUGAGUUAUUGUCUUCUUCCAUGCUUCUUUAUGAGAACUCAUUUAUAUAAUUUGAAUAGGAGGUGCAGGUGAACAAGAGCAGAAACUUAUAGUGCAAUUGUUUCAGAAAACACAAGUUUUUGAUGUGUGGUGCAUUAUGCUAUUAAGACCAUAAAUAGGGUCAAUGAUUGGCAAAAAGAAG